rfam:Oryza glumipatula chromosome 1, whole genome shotgun sequence.
UUUAAGUGCAGAUGUAGGUUUCUAUAUCCAACGUUUGACCGUCAGUCUUAUUUGAUUUUUUUUAUGAUUAGUAUUUUUAUUGUUAUUAGAUGAUAAAACAUGAAUAUUAUUUUAUGACUUAUUUUUUAAAAUUUUUCGUAAAACGGUACGUUGCAACACGCUGAGCAUCGAAAUGGCAACGAGACGCCAAGA